rnacentral:rRNA from 1 species
CACGUAGGGCGCAAGCGUUGUCCGGAAUUAUUGGGCGUAAAGAGCUCGUAGGCGGUCUGUUGCGUCCGCUGUGAAAACUCGGGGCUUAACCCCGAGCCUGCAGUGGAUACGGGCAGACUAGAGGUAGGUAGGGGGAGAAGUGAAUUCCCGGUGUAGCGGUGAAAUGCGCAGAUAUCGGGAGGAACACCGGUGGCGAAGGCGGUUCUCUGGGCCUUACCUGACGCUGAGGAGCGAAAGCGUGGGGAGCGAACAGG